rnacentral:rRNA from 1 species
UACAGAGGCCUCGAGCGUUAGGCGGAAUCACUGGGCUUAAAGCGUGUGUAGGCGGACUUCUAAGUACCUUGUGAAAUCCCACGGCUCACCCGUGGAACUGCUUGGUAUACUGGUUGUCUUGAGCCUUCUAGGGGCGAGUGGAACAAAUGGUGGAGCGGUGAAAUGCGUUGAUAUCAGAAGGAACGCCGGUGGCGAAAGCGACGGACUGGAUAUCUUCUGACGCUGAGGCGCGAAAGCUAGGGGAGCAAACGGG